rnacentral:rRNA from 1 species
AUUGAACGCUGGCGGCAGGCCUAACACAUGCAAGUCGAACGAGUGGCGGACGGGUGAGUAAUGUCUGGGAAACUGCCCGAUGGAGGGGGAUAACUACUGGAAACGGUAGCUAAUACCGCAUACCAUCGGAUGUGCCCAGAGGGAAUUAGCUCGUGGGUGGGGUAACGGCGCACCUAGGCGCCAAUCCCUAGCUGGUCUGAGAGGAUGACCGUCCACACUGGAACUGAGACAGGGUGCAGACUCCUACGGGGGGCAGAAGUGGUGAAUAUUGCACAAUGGGCGCAAGCCUGAUGCAGCCAUGCCGCGUGUAUGAAGAAGGCCUUCGGGUGGUAAAGUACUUUCAGCGGGGAGGCGUUACCCGAAGAAGAAGCACCGGCUAACUCCGUGCCAGCAGCCGCGGUAAUUC